rnacentral:rRNA from 1 species
GAUGAACGCUAGCGGCAGGCUUAACACAUGCAAGUCGAGGGGCAGCAUACCCGGUGACGGGUGAUGGCGACCGGCGGAAGGGUGAGUAACGCGUGAGCAACAUACCCGUAUCAGUGGGAUAAUACAGGGAAACUUGUUCUAAUAUCACAUAAUAUUAUUCAGAGGCAUCUUUGGAUAAUUAAAGUUCAGGCGGAUACGGAAUGGCUCGCGUGACAUUAGCUAGAUGGUAGGGUAAAGGCCUACCAUGGCUAUGAUGUCUAGGGGUUCUGAGAGGGAGGUCCCCCACACUGGAACUGAGACACGGUCCAGACUCCUACGGGAGGCAGCAGUGAGGAAUAUUGGACAAUGGAUGAAAAUCUGAUCCAGCCAUGCCGCGUGCAGGAAGGCGGCCCUAUGGGUUGUAAACUGCUUUUGUACGGGAGCAAUAAGGUCUACGAGUAGAUUGAUGAGAGUACUGUACGAAUAAGCAUCGGCUAA